rnacentral:rRNA from 1 species
GAGAUCGGGAUAACACCUGGAAACAGAUGCUAAUACCGGAUAACAACAGAUGAUGCCUAUCAACUGUUUAAAAGAUGGUUCUGCUAUCACUCUUGGAUGGACCUGCGGUGCAUUAGCUAGUUGGUAGGGUAACGGCCUACCAAGGCGAUGAUGCAUAGCCGAGUUGAGAGACUGAUCGGCCACAUUGGGACUGAGACACGGCCCAAACUCCUACGGGAGGCAGCGGCC